CUCUGAGUAAAACAGUUCGUAGGUGUUCCUGUUUCUUGCCAUGGAGAUCUGUGGGAGCUGUGGGCUUUUUGCCAUAGGUCCCAGAAAGCCUUUUUCUCCGCAUUCAAAUUCAGUGGUCAGCCCUUGGCACUAACCAGCCUGUCCUAGCGUUAGCACAGUGCAUCACUGCGUCUUCUGUGAUGCUGUGUUCAGCUGCUCCUGGUGAUUCACUCUAGACUUUACCUCAUGUCCCAGUGGCUACUUCUGAGUCAUGCUUGCUGGGACUCCUGCCUGAGGAUAUUUCUCUGGCAAUGGAUCGUCACAAACGUGUGAAAUGUUUGCCUGGGGAAAACACACAAAACGAAAUGUGAUGCCAGAGCUUACUGCUGUUUUGUCACACGAGUGUUUUCGACUAAGAUAAGCCAACUUCCCAGAUUCCCAGAGAGAUUAUUUCUUCUGCUGCAGAUAGAGUACUCAGGAUGUAGCAGUCGAAAUAGAAAACUUCAGUAGGAAACUUCCUUUGGGAAGUCCUAACCUGUAUCUCCUCUCACUACAUAGAUGUCUGGAACUUUUAUUAUGUAGACAAGACUGCCUUGGGUCACAGAGAUCUGCCUCCCAAAGGAGGGGUUGACAUCAAGUGCCAAUACUUUAACAGAUGUCUUUUGGCCUCUGAAAUGGCAGUUACAGAUGUAUGAGUGGGCGAAUCUAAGGUCCAGAAACAGGAUACAAUUUUCUCAAGGCAUCGUAUCUAUUUCAGCAGCACAACCAGACAAAAAUUUUGAGUUCUUGUUUAAUACCCAAGGUAUCAGAUAUGGUCCAGGAAUGGAGUCCUGUGAGAAGAUUUCUGAGUGCUUGUGAGAAUAUUCCUAAAAAUUCAGACAAAGGCCUUGUGACCAAAGUUCUUUCAAGAUACCAAAUUGUCCAUAGACAGUGUCUUCAUGCUCCUCUCCAGUGUUUUGGAUAGGAAUGAGUUUACUUCAGAUUGCUCAUUUUUGCUUGCUGUUGUAAUUUAUUUAAGUGUUUAAAUGACCCUUUUUAUGCCUUUAUAUGAGGCUUUGAAUGAAGAUGGCUUUAGCAUAAGACUUUCAUAUACCUUAUCUAGGGCUCCAUUGUCCUAUGUCCCACUGCCUGUAGAGCAGUGGCAGACAGGUGUGAAUAAACUGGAUAAAUAAAGCACAGAGGCAGGA
rnacentral:sRNA from 1 species